CCAUGACCCGUCUUGAAACACGGACCAAGGAGUCUAACAUGUGCGCGAGUCAUUGGGUCUUGCACAGGCCCAAAGGCACAAUGAAAGUGAAGGCCGACCCGGUCGGCUGCGUUGGGAUCCCGGGCGUUUUUUCGUCCGGGCGCACCAACGGCCCGUCCCGAUCGCCGCGUCGACGGGGCGGAGUGAGAGCGUACACGUUGGGACCCGAAAGAUGGUGAACUAUGCCUGGGCAGGACGAAGCCAGAGGAAACUCUGGUGGAGGUCCGCAGCGAUUCUGACGUGCAAAUCGAUCGUCAGACCUGGGUAUAGGGGCGAAAGACUAAUCGAACCAUCUAGUAGCUGGUUCCCUCCGAAGUUUCCCUCAGGAUAGCUGGCGCUCGGAGGAAGCAUUCUCAUCCGGUAAAGCGAAUGAUUAGAGGCCUUGGGGCCGAAACGACCUCAACCUAUUCUCAAACUUUAAAUGGGUGAGAAGUCCGGCUUGCUCGACUGAAGCCCGGACGCUAGGAUGCGAGUGCCCAGUGGGCCACUUUUGGUAAGCAGAACUGGCGCUGUGG
rnacentral:rRNA from 1 species